CGUAGGGUCCAAGCGUUAAUCGGAAUUACUGGGCGUAAAGCGUGCGCAGGCGGUUGUGUAAGCCAGAUGCGAAAUCCCCGGGCUUAACCUGGGAAUGGCAUUUGGGACUGCACGGCUAGAGUACGGCAGAGGAGACUAGAAUUCCUGGUGUAGCAGUGAAAUGCGUAGAUAUCAGGAGGAAUACCGAUGGCGAAGGCAGGUCUCUGGGUCGAUACUGACGCUCAUGCACGAAAGCGUGGGGAGCAAACAGGAUUAGAUACCCUGGUAGUCCACGCCCUAAACGAUGUCAACUGGUUGUUGGGGAAUUGAUUUCCUUAGUAACGAAGCUAACGCGUGAAGUUGACCGCCUGGGGAGUACGGUCGCAAGAUUA
rnacentral:rRNA from 1 species